AAACUGAAGAGUUUGAUCCUGGCUCAGAUUGAACGCUGGCGGCAUGCCUUACACAUGCAAGUCGAACGGCAGCACGGGGGCAACCCUGGUGGCGAGUGGCGAACGGGUGAGUAAUAUAUCGGAACGUACCCUGGAGUGGGGGAUAACUAGUCGAAAGAUUAGCUAAUACCGCAUACGAUCUACGGAUGAAAGUGGGGGCUCGCAAGACCUCAUGCUCGUGGAGCGGCCGAUAUCUGAUUAGCUAGUUGGUAGGGUAAAAGCCUACCAAGGCAUCGAUCAGUAGCUGGUCUGAGAGGACGACCAGCCACACUGGAACUGAGACACGGUCCAGACUCCUACGGGAGGCAGCAGUGGGGAAUUUUGGACAAUGGGGGCAACCCUGAUCCAGCAAUGCCGCGUGAGUGAAGAAGGCCUUCGGGUUGUAAAGCUCUUUUGUC
rnacentral:rRNA from 1 species